AUUAAAUACGAUUUCAAAGUGGCAGACUGGAAAUCUCUGCAGGCAAAUGUGAUGUCACUGAGGAAAUCACACACUUACCCGUAGAGAUUCUUCAGUCUGACAGCUUCAGGCCUCGGACUGCU
rnacentral:pre_miRNA from 14 species